UACGGGGGGGGCAAGCGUUGUUCGGAAUUACUGGGCGUAAAGGGCUCGUAGGCGGCCAACUAAGUCGGAUGUGAAAUCCCCAGGCUUAACCUGGGAACUGCAUCCGAUACUGGAUGGCUUGAAUCCGGGGGAGGGAUGCAGAAUUCCAGGUGUAGCGGUGAAAUGCGUAGAUAUCUGGAGGAAUACCGGUGGCGAAGGCGGCAUCCUGGACCGGCAUUGACGCUGAGGAGCGAAAGCUAGGGGAGCAAACGGG
rnacentral:rRNA from 1 species